AGCUUUGUGCAGUGGCAGUAUCGUAACCAAUGAGGUUUAUCCGAGGCACAAUUAUUGCUAAUUGAAAACUUUUCCCAACACACUGCCAUAAUGACCUUGAACUAUACUAGGCAUUGGCAAUUUAAUUUUUGAUAGUCUCUACGGAGA
rnacentral:snRNA from 1 species